UCCUGAUUCCUGCACAUGUAAGUUACCAGAUACUCUUGAGGGACCAAUUUAAGGGCAAACAGACAAACGUUUUGAUGCAAAGAAAGCAUUGGAUUUGAAAGUUCCCAUGGAGAAGAAAAAUGGAGAGAUUCUAAAAGUAUGAAGAUACUCCUGUGUAUAAUGAGGAAAUCUUGUCAGUGAAUGUUGUUGCAAUUGUGGACCAGGCCAGAGUUGUACUAAACCAACUAAGACACAAUGAGAUACAGGAAUGACACAAUGAGAAACAGGAAACAGGAAAGUGAUGACUGAUCGCCACCUGUUACAAAUUCAUCUAGAAAACUCCCCACAUCCAACAAGAGACAGUCUGACUUCAAAAUCUUCAUUGAAGGCAACUUAAUGGACAAGACAUCCGUCACAUAAAGAUUCACUAAAAUUGGAAUGAUAUACCAAUUUUAACUUUUAACAGACAAAUACAUUAUAGAUUUGAAAAUAGAUUACCCUUAGAUAAGUUGGAUGAUUAACAUUUACCUCAACACAGUACAAAGUGCUCAUGUUGAACUAUUGUGAUUGAUCAUAGUCUGUCCUUCAUUUUUUGUUAACAGUUUCAU